CCUAUGGGUGGCAGCAGUGGGGGAUCUUGCACAAUGGGGGGAACCCUGAUGCAGCGACGCCGCGUGGGUGAAGAAGCGCCUCGGCGCGUAAAGCUCUGUUAGCAGGGAAGAAAAUGACGGUACCUGAAGAAUAAGCCCCGGCUAACUACGUGCCAGCAGCCGCGGUAAUACGUAGGGGGCAAGCGUUAUCCGGAUUUACUGGGUGUAAAGGGGGCGCAGACGGCGUUGCAAGCCAGGAGGGAAAGCCCGGGGGCCAAACCCGGGAAUGCUCUUGGAACCGAGUGACUGGAGUGCAGGAGGGGAAUGUGGAAUUCCUGGUGUAGCGGUGAAAUGCGUAGAUAUCAGGAGGAACACCGGUGGCGAAGGCGGCCUGCUGGACUGCAACUGACGUUGAGGCCCGAAAGCGUGGGGAGCAAACAGGAUUAGAUACCCCUGUAGUC
rnacentral:rRNA from 1 species